CACAUGGAAUCCAUGUCAAUCCAUGUGGAUAUCCAGCUGGAUAUCCAUCCGAUUAUUUUCAACAGGGGUAGCACUUACCAUAUAAUAGUUCAGAGCUCCAUAUGAACUUAAAGAGUAGAAGCUACUCCAAAAGCUUUUGAAUGUACCAGUAGGGCAAUGAUAAUUGCAAUAAAAAUUCUAGUCACAUAGAUUGUUUUUAACAUAGACAUAAGAGAGAUAGACUGCGUGUGAAGGUUAGCAAAAGUGGACCCCAUUGACCUGUGUGUAAGACAAAGACACCAUACCUUCUAUCCAAUGCUUGGUAUAUGGGAUAGAAGGUAUUCUGUCUUUCUCUCACUGGGUGCCACUUUUGCUAGCCUACACACGCAGUCUAUCUCUCUUAUGUCUAUGGUUUUUAAAGAACCCAACCUAAUCUUAAAGCAACCUAACCUUAAAUGUAUUCUUUCUUGUUUUUGUUGACUUUGAAAAUUGUAACAUAAACUAUAUAGUGGGCAAACUGUAGUUGGCAUAAAGUCAUUCCAGUGUUAAAUAAGUAACCACAGUGAACAGUUGUUUUGUAACUUCGAAUUUUGUUAAAUAAUUUUUCACAACAAUAAAUAUAAAUAAAUAGUGCUUGAGUACAUUUAAUCACUAAUAUAUCAUAUAAAUGUUUUAAAUAAAAACACCAAUGACAAACAUUUUAUUUUAAUACCACAACUAUAAUAACAUUGCCACUUCUAAUAUAAAGAGUAGCACAUCUCAAAUUCAUGAUGAAAAUUAGCAGGUUUCGUUCUCAGUGGCGAAGACCAACACAUUUUGAGUUUUGCCACAAAGACUAGCACAUUUCACACAAACACUAACGAUUUUGGGGCUGUAUAUUUAAAAAACGUCAAAGCAGUACAUAAUAUUCACAUGCAAAGAUCCAGCUAGUACAAUAAUCAUUAAAUCGAAGCAAUCAUGAGUAAUAUUGGUUCAAUCUAAAAUAGUAUAUGAGAUAUCACCUGUGCAAUCAGGAAGCUACGUGCCAAAGUAUUGGCAGCCGUUUUCACUGUCCGAAGGAUCCUAAGCUAACGAAUGGUUCUUUUAGGCUUAAAUUUGAGGAGGAUACUUUUCACACCUGUAGUUUUGGUAUGAAUUCAGGGAUUUUAAUUUGAAUGCUUAGAAAUGGUUUG